rnacentral:rRNA from 1 species
GGGUUGUGAGGUUAAGCGACUAAGCGUACACGGUGGAUGCCCUGGCAGUCAGAGGCGAUGAAGGACGUGCUAAUCUGCGAAAAGCGUCGGUAAGGUGAUAUGAACCGUUAUAACCGGCGAUGUCCGAAUGGGGAAACCCAGUGCAAUUCGUUGCACUAUCGUUAACUGAAUACAUAGGUUAACGAGGCGAACCGGGGGAACUGAAACAUCUAAGUACCCCGAGGAAAAGAAAUCAACCGAGAUUCCCCCAGUAGCGGCGAGCGAACGGGGAGCAGCCCAGAGUCUGAAUCAGCUUGUGUGUUAGUGGAACGGUCUGGAAAGUCCGACGGUACAGGGUGAUAGUCCCGUACACCAAAAUGCACAGGUUGUGAACUCGAAGAGUAGGGCGGGACACGUGGUAUCCUGUCUGAAUAUGGGGGGACCAUCCUCCAAGGCUAAAUACUCCUGACUGACCGAUAGUGAACCAGUACCGUGAGGGAAAGGCGAAAAAGAACCCCGGCGAGGGGAGUGAAAAAGAACCUGAAACCGUGUACGUACAAGCAGUGGGAGCACCUUCGGGUGUGACUGCGUACCUUUUGUAUAAUGGGUCAGCGACUUAUAUUCUGUAGCAAGGUUAACCGUAUAGGGGAGCCGCAGGGAAACCGAGUCUUAACUGGGCGUUAAGUUGCAGGGUAUAGACCCGAAACCCGGUGAUCUAGCCAUGGGCAGGUUGAAG